rnacentral:rRNA from 1 species
UAGGGAAUCUUCGGCAAUGGGGGCAACCCUGACCGAGCAACGCCGCGCGAGUGAAGAAGGUUUUCGGAUCGUAAAGCUCUGUUGUAAGUCAAGAACGAGUGUGAGAGUGGAAAGUUCACACUGUGACGGUAGCUUACCAGAAAGGGACGGCUAACUACGUGCCAGCAGCCGCGGUAAUACGUAGGUCCCGAGCGUUGUCCGGAUUUAUUGGGCGUAAAGCGAGCGCAGGCGGUUUGAUAAGUCUGAAGUUAAAGGCUGUGGCUCAACCAUAGUUCGCUUUGGAAACUGUCAAACUUGAGUGCAGAAGGGGAGAGUGGAAUUCCAUGUGUAGCGGUGAAAUGCGUAGAUAUAUGGAGGAACACCGGUGGCGAAAGCGGCUCUCUGGUCUGUAACUGACGCUGAGGCUCGAAAGCGUAGGGAGCGAACAGGAUUAGAUACCCUGGUAGUCCACGCCGUAAACGAUGAGUGCUAGGUGUUGGAUCCUUUCCGGGAUUCAGUGCCGCAGCUAACGCAUUAAGCACUCCGCCUGGGGAGUACGACCGCAAGGUUG